rnacentral:rRNA from 1 species
UCUUCCGGCAAUUGAUGAAAUUCUGACGGAGCCCCGGGGUGUGGGUGUUGAAUUUUUUCGGGUAGUAAAAGUAUGUUCUUUGGGAUGAUCAAGUUUAUUUUUGAAUAAAGCUGGUACUACCGUCGGUACCUAAGCCAGAACCCCCAGUGAUAAUUACGCACCAGCAGGGGGGGUAUUAGUUAGGUGUUCAGCGUUAUCAGGAGUUUUUGGGCGGAAAGCUCGCGUAGGUGUUUUGCCAAUUUUUCUGUGAAAGCCCACGGGUUAACCGUGGAGGGUCAUUGGAAAAUGGGAGCCUUGAGUGGAGAUGACGUAACUAAAAUUCUAUUUGUAGGGGUGUAAUGCGUAAAGUUAUGGAGGAACACCCGUGGUCAAUUUCGAAUUUAUUGGUCUGUAAAAUGAUCAUUGAGGUCGUGAAACCCGUGGGGAGCAAAGAUGGAUCAGAUAUCCCUGGUAGUGUCACGCAGUAAAUCGAUGAGUGCUAAGUGUUAGAGGGUUUCCGCCCUUUAGUGCUGAAGUCUAACGCAUAAA